ACUCUGUGACGCGGAGGGACAUUACCGAGUUUACAACUCCCAAACCCCUGUGAACAUACCACUUGUUGCCUCGGCGGAUCAGCCCGCUCCCGGUAAAACGGGACGGCCCGCCAGAGGACCCCUAAACUCUGUUUCUAUAUGUAACUUCUGAGUAAAACCAUAAAUAAAUCAAAACUUUCAACAACGGAUCUCUUGGUUCUGGCAUCGAUGAAGAACGCAGCAAAAUGCGAUAAGUAAUGUGAAUUGCAGAAUUCAGUGAAUCAUCGAAUCUUUGAACGCACAUUGCGCCCGCCAGUAUUCUGGCGGGCAUGCCUGUUCGAGCGUCAUUUCAACCCUCAAGCACAGCUUGGUGUUGGGACUCGCGUUAAUUCGCGUUCCCCAAAUUGAUUGGCGGUCACGUCGAGCUUCCAUAGCGUAGUAGUAAAACCCUCGUUACUGGUAAUCGUCGCGGCCACGCCGUUAAACCCCAACUUCUGAAUGUUGACCUCGGAUCAGGUAGGAAUACCCGCUGAACUUAAGCAUAUCAAUAAGCGGGAGGAAA
rnacentral:rRNA from 1 species